UGGGUGGCUAGGAUUACAGGUGUAAGCCACUGGAGCCCACCUUAAUGAGGAAAUUUCAGUUUUGAAAAAAAUACUCCUGACCUCUGCCUAUAGGUUCCUGGCACUGAAAUAGAGUUGUACAGUG
rnacentral:snoRNA from 1 species